rnacentral:rRNA from 1 species
GAUGAACGCUGGCGGCGUGCCUAAUACAUGCAAGUCGAGCGAACAGACGAGGAGCUUGCUCCUCUGACGUUAGCGGCGGACGGGUGAGUAACACGUGGAUAACCUACCUAUAAGACUGGGAUAACAUCGGGAAACCGGAGCUAAUACCGGAUAAUAUAUUGAACCGCAUGGUUCAAUAGUGAAAGACGGUUUUGCUGUCACUUAUAGAUGGCUCCGCGCCGCAUUAGCUAGUUGGUAAGGUAACGGCUUACCAAGGCGACGAUGCGUAGCCGACCUGAGAGGGUGAUCGGCCACACUGGAACUGAGACACGGUCCAGACUCCUACGGGAGGCAGCAGUAGGGAAUCUUCCGCAAUGGGCGAAAGCCUGACGGAGCAACGCCGCGUGAGUGAUGAAGGUCUUCGGAUCGUAAAACUCUGUUAUUAGGGAAGAACAAAUGUGUAAGUAACUAUGCACGUCUUGACGGUACCUAAACAGAAAGCCACGGCUAACUACGUG